GAAAAAUAUAUUAUACUAAUAAAAUGAUAUAAAAUCAAAUUAAUAAAUACACUCCUGCUGUAACCAAAGUAGAUGAAUGUACUAAAGCUGAAACAGGAGUAGGUGCUGCUAUGG